UUGUCGCGCCGAAGAUGAUGGACCUCA
rnacentral:sRNA from 1 species